UACGUAGGGUGCGAGCGUUAAUCGGAAUUACUGGGCGUAAAGUGUGCGCAGGCGGCUCUGCAAGUCGCGUGUGAAAUCCCCGAGCUUAACUUGGGAAUUGCGCUCGAAACUAUGGAGCUGGAGUGUGGCAGAGGAAGGUGGAAUUCCACGUGUAGCGGUGAAAUGCGUAGAGAUGUGGAGGAACACCAAUGGCGAAGGCAGCCUUCUGGGCCAACACUGACGCUCAUGCACGAAAGCGUGGGGAGCAAACAGG
rnacentral:rRNA from 1 species